GGUACGUGAGCUGGGUUUAGAACGUCGCGAGACAGUUCGGUCCCUAUCUGGUGUGGGCGGAGCAGGAUUGAGGGAAUCUGUCCUUAGUACGAGAGGACCGGGAUGGAUCCACCUCUAGUGUACGAGUUAUGGCGCCAGCCGUAACGCUCGGUAGCUAUGUGGAGCAUGGAUAAACGCUGAAUGCAUCUAAGCGUGAAGCCAGACCCAAGAUUAGUCCUGACUGUGAGACUCCUGGUAGACCACCAGGUUGAUAGGCUGGAAAUGUAAGUGCAGUAAUGUGCUCAGUUGACCAGUACUAAUCAGUCCCUUGGCUUGACCGUA
rnacentral:rRNA from 1 species